UGUAGGAGUGAGCCUGCUCGCGAUAGCGAUAUGUCAGACACAUCAAUUGCUGACUGACACACCGCUAUCGCGAGCAGGCUCACUCCUACA
rnacentral:misc_RNA from 1 species